GUUCUACUCCCUCAGUCCCAAAAUUCUUGUCUUGAAUUUGUGUAGAUACGGACCGACAAAUCUAGUCCGUAUCUACACAAAUCCAAGACAAGAAUUUUGGGACUUAGGGAGUAUCAU
rfam:Triticum aestivum genome assembly, contig: Triticum_aestivum_CS42_TGACv1_scaffold_643298_T_5DL-0.076943_1AL-0.065675